CCGCGGUAAUACGGAGGGAGCUAGCGUUGUUCGGAAUUACUGGGCGUAAAGCGCGCGUAGGCGGUUUGAUAAGUUGGAUGUGAAAGCCCCGGGCUCAACCUGGGAAUUGCAUCCAAAACUGUCUGACUAGAGUACGGUAGAGGGUGGUGGAAUUUCCUGUGUAGCGGUGAAAUGCGUAGAUAUAGGAAGGAACAUCAGUGGCGAAGGCGACCACCUGGACUGAUACUGACGCUGAGGUGCGAAAGCGUGGGGAGCAAACAGG
rnacentral:rRNA from 1 species